UACGGGGGGGGCAAGCGUUGUUCGGAAUUACUGGGCGUAAAGGGCGCGUAGGCGGUCGCGUAAGUCGGAUGUGAAAUCCCGGGGCUCAACCCCGGAACUGCAUUCGAUACUGCGUGGCUAGGGUACUGGAGAGGAAACUGGAAUUUACGGUGUAGCAGUGAAAUGCGUAGAUAUCGUAAGGAAGACCAGUGGCGAAGGCGAGUUUCUGGACAGUUACCGACGCUGAGGCACGAAGGCCAGGGGAGCAAACGGG
rnacentral:rRNA from 1 species